UACGGGGGGGGCAAGCGUUGUUCGGAAUUACUGGGCGUAAAGGGCUCGUAGGCGGCCAACUAAGUCAGACGUGAAAUCCCUCGGCUUAACCGGGGAACUGCGUCUGAUACUGGAUGGCUAGAGUUUGGGAGAGGGAUGCGGAAUUCCAGGUGUAGCGGUGAAAUGCGUAGAUAUCUGGAGGAACACCGGUGGCGAAGGCGGCAUCCUGGACCAAUACUGACGCUGAGGAGCGAAAGCUAGGGGAGCAAACGGG
rnacentral:rRNA from 1 species